rnacentral:rRNA from 1 species
GACGAGCGCUGGCGGCGUGCUUAACACAUGCAAGUCGAACGGAAAGGCCCUGCUUUUGUGGGGUGCUCGAGUGGCGAACGGGUGAGUAACACGUGAGUAACCUGCCCUUGACUUUGGGAUAACUUCAGGAAACUGGGGCUAAUACCGGAUAGGAGCUCCUGCUGCAUGGUGGGGGUUGGAAAGUUUCGGCGGUUGGGGAUGGACUCGCGGCUUAUCAGCUUGUUGGUGGGGUAGUGGCUUACCAAGGCUUUGACGGGUAGCCGGCCUGAGAGGGUGACCGGCCACAUUGGGACUGAGAUACGGCCCAGACUCCUACGGGAGGCAGCAGUGGGGAAUAUUGCACAAUGGGCGGAAGCCUGAUGCAGCAACGCCGCGUGCGGGAUGACGGCCUUCGGGUUGUAAACCGCUUUCGCCUGUGACGAAGUGUGAGUGACGGUAAUGGGUAAAGAAGCACCGGCUAACUACGUG